UGUAUUAACUUUGCUGUUAGGAAAGUACAGAGAUCUUUCUUUUGAAACAGUUUGUUCCCUGAAUGCUGUUCUCUGAUUGGUCUUAAAUUUAGUAGAUGGUGGCCUUGCACAGGAAUCUGAGUCCACAGAGGGUGAACAAGUAGAUGGUGGCCUUGCACAGGAAUCUGAGUCCACAGAGGGUGAACAAGUAGAUGGUGGCCUUGCACAGGAAUCUGAGUCCACAGAGGGUGAACAAGUAGAUGGUGGCCUUGCACAGGAAUCUGAGUCCACAGAGGGUGAACAAGUAGAUGGUGGCCUUGAACAGGCAUCUGAGUCCACAGAGGGUGAACAAGGUAGGAAGAUACUGUAUUUAUGGUCCGCAUAGUUUUGGCCAUGAAAUGAGUUGACAAUAAAAUAAAAACAAUAUUUUUUCACUUCUACAGUAUUAUUCGAA